rnacentral:rRNA from 1 species
UACGUAGGGUGCGAGCGUUGUCCGGAAUUAUUGGGCGUAAAGGGCUCGUAGGCGGUUUGUCGCGUCGGGAGUGAAAACACGGGGCUUAACCCCCGUGCCUGCUUCCGAUACGGGCAGACUAGAGGUAUGCAGGGAGAACGGAAUUUCCUGGUGUAGCGGUGAAAUGCGCAGAUAUCAGGAGGAACACCCGGUGGCGAAAGGGCGGGUUUCUCUGGGCAUUUACCCUGACGCUGAGGAGCGAAAGUGUGGGGAGCGAACAGG